GCCAAGGUAACCAAGUGGCUAAGGUGCUCGCCUGCAGAGCGGGUUAUCGUGGGUUCAAGUCCCUCCCUUGGCU
rnacentral:tRNA from 3 species